GGGAUUGUGGCUCAGUGGUAGAGCACUUGCCUGGCAUGUGUGAGGCCUGGGUUCAAAUCUCAGCACCA
rnacentral:tRNA from 1 species